AGCGAACGCUGGCGGCAGGCUUAACACAUGCAAGUCGAGCGGGCAUCCUUGUGGUGUCAGCGGCAGACGGGUGUGUAACGCGUGGGAACGUGCCCUUCGGUUCGGAAUAACUCAGGGAAACUUGAGCUAAUACCGGAUACGUGCGAGAGCAGAAAGGUUUAUCUGCCGAAGGAUCGGCCCGCGUCUGAUUAGCUAGUUGGUGAGGUUAUGGCUCACCAAGGCGACGAUCAGUAGCUGGUCUGAGAGGAUGAUCAGCCACACUGGGACUGAGACACGGCCCAGACUCCUACGGGAGGCAGCAGUGGGGAAUAUUGGACAAUGGGGGCAACCCUGAUCCAGCCAUGCCGCGUGAGUGAUGACGGCCUUAGGGUUGUAAAGCUCUUUUCUCCGGGACGAUAAUGACGGUACCGGAGGAAUAAGCCCCGGCUAACUUCGUG
rnacentral:rRNA from 1 species